rnacentral:rRNA from 1 species
CCUACGGGAGGCAGCAGUGGGGAAUAUUGGGCAAUGGACGCAAGUCUGACCCAGCAACGCCGCGUGAAGGAAGAAGGCUUUCGGGUUGUAAACUUCUUUUAAGGGGGAAGAGCAGAAGACGGUACCCCUUGAAUAAGCCACGGCUAACUACGUGCCAGCAGCCGCGGUAAUACGUAGGUGGCAAGCGUUGUCCGGAUUUACUGGGUGUAAAGGGCGUGCAGCCGGAGAGACAAGUCAGAUGUGAAAUCCGCAGGCUCAACCUGCGAACUGCAUUUGAAACUGGCAAACUGGAGUGUGUGAGAGGAUAGUGGAAUUCCAGGUGUAGGAGUGAAAUCCGUAGAUAUCUGGAGGAACAUCAGUGGCGAAGGCGACUAUCUGGCACAUAACUGACGCUGAGGAGCGAAAGCGUGGGGAGCAAACAGGAUUAGAUACCCCAGUAGUC